AUACGUAGGGGGCGAGCGUUGUCCGGAAUGACUGGGCGUAAAGGGAGUGUAGGCGGCUUUAUAAGUCUGGAGUGAAAGUCCUGGUUUCAAGGGGGGAAUUGCUUUGGAGACUGUAGAGCUUGAGUGCGGUAGAGGUAAGUGGAAUUCCAGGGGUAGCGGCGAAAUGCGUAGCGAUUUGGAGGAACCCCAGUGGCGAAGGCGGCUUACUGGGCCGUAACUGACGCUGAGGCGCGAAAGCGGGGGUAGCGAACAGGAAUAGAUACCCUGGUAUUCCACGCUGUAAACGAUGAAUGCUAGGUGUAGCAGGUAUCGACCCCUGCUGUGCCGCAGUAAACGCAAUAAGCAUUCCGCCUGGGGAGUACGGCCGCAAGGUUGAAACUCAAAUGAAUUGGCGGGG
rnacentral:rRNA from 1 species